rnacentral:rRNA from 1 species
GCCUACAGCCACUCCACCCUGAACACACCGUUCCCGUCUGAUCUUGGAAGCUAAGCAGGGUCGGGCCUGGUUAGUACUUGAAUGAGAGACCACCUAGGAAGACCAGGUGCUGUAAGUG